rnacentral:rRNA from 1 species
AGGAUGAACGUUGGCGGCGUGCCUAACACAUGCAAGUCGAACGCAGAUAGCAAUAUUUGAGUGGCGCACGGGUGAGUAACACGUAGCUUAUCUACCUCAAAGCGCGGGAUAACAUGUCGAAAGACAGGCUAAUACCGCAUAAGCUCACGGCCUCUAGAGGGUUGUGAGAAAAGGCGUAAGUCACUUUGAGAUGAGGCUGCGGCCCAUCAGCUAGUUGGGGUGGUAAAAGCACACCGAAGGCAACGGACGGGUAGGGGACCUGAGGAGGGUCGACCCCCCACACGUCGGGACUGAGACGACGCCCAGACU